GUGCUCGCUUCAGCAGCACAUACACUAAAAUUGGAACAAUAUAGAGAAGAUUAGCAUGGUCCCUGCGCAAGGAUGACACGCAAAUUCGUGAAGUGUUCCAUAUUAAA
rnacentral:snRNA from 1 species